GGGCGGGGAAGUUUAGGAGUUGAGGAAAGAAGAUUAAAGAGCGUGAGGAGGAUUACUCCAACUACCAGACCUGCGUUGUCAAUGAGAAAAUAACAGUCCAUUGAAGGGGACCGAGUAGUGGAGGAGAGAGGAAGAUCAGUCACACAAAAGAAGUGUUAAGACUUGCCUUUUGAGACACUGAAGGCUAAAGGUACCUGAUAAAUCUCAUCUUUCUGUGUCCUAUAGCUGCACAGGCUGCCUGAAGUUACAUUUAGAGACUGAAAUCACUGCACCUUAAAAACAAAAGAUUGAGCUGCACUGCAUUCCUGAUGUUUCACCAUCACUGACUGAGUAUUCCUCACAAGACAUUGCUGCCUGCAGUGACUGGCGCUUUUCCUCCACGUUUU